CGGCGAGUGAAGCGGCAACAGCUCAAAUUUGAAAUCUGGCCCCCUCAGGGCCCGAGUUGUAAUUUGCAGAGGGUGCUUUGGCGUUGGCGCCGGCCUAAGUUCCUUGGAACAGGACGUCAUAGAGGGUGAGAACCCCGUACGUGGCAGGCCGCCUCCGCCGUGUAAAGCCCCUUCGACGAGUCGAGUUGUUUGGGAAUGCAGCUCUAAAUGGGAGGUAAAUUCCUUCUAAAGCUAAAUACUGGCCAGAGACCGAUAGCGCACAAGUAGAGUGAUCGAAAGAUGAAAAGCACUUUGGAAAGAGAGUCAAAAAGCACGUGAAAUUGUUGAAAGGGAAGCGCUUGCAGCCAGACUUGCCUGUAGUUGCUCAUCCGGGCCCCGGCCCGGUGCACUCUUCUGCGGGCAGGCCAGCAUCAGUCUAGGCGGCCGGAUAAAGGCCCCGGGAACGUAGCUCCCUCCGGGGAGUGUUAUAGCCCGGGGCGCAAUGCGGCCAGCUUGGACUGAGGUCCGCGCAUCUGCUAGGAUGCUGGCGUAAUGGCUGUAAGCGGCCCGUCUUGAAACACGGACCAAGGAGUCUAACAUCUAUGCGAGUGUUUGGGUGUCAAGCCCGGGCGCGAAAUGAAAGUGAACGGAGGUGGGAACCCCUCCCGGGGUGCACCAUCGACCGAUCCUGAUGUCUUCGGAUGGAUUUGAGUAAGAGCAUAGCUGUUGGGACCCGAAAGAUGGUGAACUAUGCCUGAAUAGGGUGAAGCCAGAGGAAACUCUGGUGGAGGCUCGCAGCGGUUCUGACGUGCAAAUCGAUCGUCAAAUUU
rnacentral:rRNA from 1 species